GUGGGGAAUCUUGCGCAAUGGGCGAAAGCCUGACGCAGCCAUGCCGCGUGAAUGAUGAAGGUCUUAGGAUUGUAAAAUUCUUUCACCGGGGACGAUAAUGACGGUACCCGGAGAAGAAGCUCCGGCUAACUUCGUGCCAGCAGCCGCGGUAAUACGAAGGGGGCUAGCGUUGCUCGGAAUUACUGGGCGUAAAGGGCGCGUAGGCGGACAGCUUAGUCAGAGGUGAAAGCCCAGGGCUCAACCUUGGAAUUGCCUUGGAUACUGGCUGUCUUGAGUUUGGGAGGGGUGGGUGGAAAUCCGAGUGUAGAGGUGAAAUUCGUAGAGAUUCGGAAGAACACCAGUGGCGAAGGCGACUCACUGGCCCAAUACUGACGCUGAGGCGCGAAAGCGUGGGGAGCAAACAGGAUUAGAAACCCUUGUAGUCC
rnacentral:rRNA from 1 species